rnacentral:lncRNA from 1 species
UCAAAGUGAGCCGAUCUCACUCACUGUCAGACACUGCAGAGUGAGAAACAGAUGAUGGUUCUGUGGCAAACGUCCUUUUGCUGAAUAUUCUACCUACGUGGCAACAAAAACUUUGGCCCCAGCAGUUUCUCACUCUCCAGCUACUCCACUGGCAACUUCCAACAAUUUGUCAAAGUGACCACUUGCAUGCUCUUGCCAGUCUAUGGCUCCAGUUGCUUCUGUUCCAGGAAGAAGCAAAGAAGUCUAAGUUCUUUGGAGUAAGAUGCUCUCAAAUGCCUAGGAACACUGAUCUCCUAACUUGUCUUCCUGCUUUGAGUGUCCCUCUGAGGUUAAAGUUCCUGCCUCAGUCUCCAACAAUGGUCAUUUCCACUGCUGCCCACUGAGGAGUGCCACUGGAGAUGAUCUCACAACAAAGAGAGGGGGAGAGGCUGCUCCUCCCGUCAGAAGAUGGAGACUGCUUCCUUGCCCUUCAAUCCAAGCUGGCUCAUGACUUGCUUCAAUGAAUAGGAAAUGGCAGAAGUGAUGCUCUGAGGCUUCUGGGCCUAGACUUUAAGAGGUGUUGCCCCUUUCCUUUUUCCCUCUUGGGAUCCAGCCUACCACAUAGAGAAGUUUGGGUUGACAACUAAAUGUGAGAGAGAGACAGACAGAGAGAAGAGGGAGAGCUGAUUCAGCUAGACCUUAGUCAUUCCAGCCAUCCUAGCUGAAGCACUAGCAUGUGAAAGAAGCCACCUUCUAACCUAUCAAUCAGAGCCCCCAAUUUUACUGACCUCAGUCAACACCAUGUGGAACAGAACUACCCCAGGGAGCCCAACCAACCCAUACAAUCAUGAGAAAUUAAAAACUGAUGUUGUAGCCUCCUGAGUUUUAAGGUAGUUUGUUACACAAAAAUACUGGAAUUUUGACCCACCUUCACCUCCAAUGCCAACCUAGUAAACCUGGAUAUAUCUUUCAAAAUUUGGCUCAAGUGUCAACUCUUUCAUGAACCCUCUGUAUCCUUUUCUUGCUCAUUCAAGCCCUAUUUUCUCUUCUCCUCCCCAAAAUUCCAUAGUACUUUGUAUUACAAACUAUGUGCUUACAACCCCCAAAGUCUCUGGGCAUCCAGAAGGCAGAGAUUUGGCUUAAUUCAUUUUUGCCUCUGCCUAGCCUAACACCCGGCACAUUUAGAUAUUUAGUUAUUGUUUGCUGAAUGAAUGGAUGCAUGAAGAAGAAAAUUUAACAGAUGAUAUCUACAGGCACAUCUGGCUCCAAAAUUGAAUCAUGUCAUCUAGCAAUGCUCAGUAAAGUUAACAUAAGCAAUUUC